GAGUUUGAUCAUGGCUCAGAUUGAACGCUGGCGGCAUGCCUUACACAUGCAAGUCGAACGGCAGCACGGGGGCAACCCUGGUGGCGAGUGGCGAACGGGUGAGUAAUGCAUCGGAAUGUGUCCUCUUGUGGGGGAUAACCAGUCGAAAGACUGGCUAAUACCGCAUGAGCUCGAGAGAGGAAAGCGGGGGAUCGCAAGACCUCGCGCGAGAGGGGCAGCCGAUGCCCGAUUAGCUAGUUGGCGGGGUAAGAGCCCACCAAGGCGACGAUCGGUAGCUGGUCUGAGAGGACGGCCAGCCACACUGGGACUGAGACACGGCCCAGACUCCUACGGGAGGCAGCAGUGGGGAAUUUUGGACAAUGGGCGCAAGCCUGAUCCAGCCAUGCCGCGUGUGUGAAGAAGGCCUU
rnacentral:rRNA from 1 species